rnacentral:lncRNA from 1 species
CAGACUCCUCCAGCGGAUGAUCCUCCACAAUGCCAUCCGAAGUCCACUGCCGGUCGAUCCUCUGUCGGAUUCCUCAUGAAAUCAGACUUCUCCAACAGAAAGUCCCUGUCCGAGCUUCUACAGCAGAUGACUCCCACCUGCAGCAUCAGCGCUCUAGGCAUCCGACAACAGUGGACUCAUCAGCAACCUCGAAAACAUCCGAGUCUCUCUUAGAUUGCAGAGACAGAGAGCCAUUCCGCUCCUUCAGACGUCCCACNNN